UUUAGUGCAGUGAUGAAGCUUGUGGACUAGAGUUUCUGAUCUCUGAGAUUCAGUCUCAGAAUCUGAAGACAAACCCUUGGCUGUCUGAGCACGCUU